AUAUCAAUAAGCGGAGGAAAAGAAACUAACAAGGAUUCCCCUAGUAACGGCGAGUGAAGCGGGAAGAGCUCAAAUUUAAAAUCUGGCGGUGUAUUCCGUCCGAGUUGUAGUCUAGAGAAGCAUCAUCCGCGCCGGACCAUGUACAAGUCUCUUGGAACAGAGCGUCAUAGAGGGUGAGAAUCCCGUCCUUGACAUGGACUCCCGGUGCUUUGUGUUGAGCUCUCAACGAGUCGAGUUGUUUGGGAAUGCAGCUCAAAAUGGGUGGUAAAUUCCAUCUAAAGCUAAAUAUUGGCGAGAGACCGAUAGCGCACAAGUA
rnacentral:rRNA from 1 species